rnacentral:rRNA from 1 species
UAUGGGGGGGGGCAAGCGUUGUUCGGAAUUACUGGGCGUAAAGGGCUCGUAGGCGGCCAACUAAGUCAGACGUGAAAUCCCUCGGCUUAACCGGGGAACUGCGUCUGAUACUGGAUGGCUUGAGUUUGGGAGAGGGAUGCGGAAUUCCAGGUGUAGCGGUGAAAUGCGUAGAUAUCUGGAGGAACACCGGUGGCGAAGGCAGCAUCCUGGACCAACACUGACGCUGAGUGAGCGAAAGCCAGGGGAGCAAACGGG